rnacentral:rRNA from 1 species
GAUCCCUGGCUCAGGAUGAACGCUAGCGGCAGGCUUAACACAUGCAAGUCGAGGGGUAUAGUUCUUCGGAAUUAGAGACCGGCGCACGGGUGCGUAACGCGUAUGCAAUCUACCUUUUGCAGAGGGAUAGCCCAGAGAAAUUUGGAUUAAUACCUCAUAGUAUAGCAGUUUCGCAUGAAACCACUAUUAAAGUCACAACGGCAAAAGAUGAGCAUGCGUCCCAUUAGCUAGUUGGUAAGGUAACGGCUUACCAAGGCUACGAUGGGUAGGGGUCCUGAGAGGGAGAUCCCCCACACUGGUACUGAGACACGGACCAGACUCCUACGGGAGGCAGCAGUGAGGAAUAUUGGACAAUGGGCGCAAGCCUGAUCCAGCCAUGCCGCGUGCAGGAUGACGGUCCUAUGGAUUGUAAACUGCUUUUGUACAGGAAGAAACACUCCCUCGUGAGGGAGCUUGACGGUACUGUAAGAAUAAGGAUCGGCUAA